UACGUAGGAUGCAAGCGUUGUCCGGAAUUAUUGGGCGUAAAGAGCGCGCAGGCGGUCUAUCAAGUCAGAUGUGAAAUAUCCGGGCUUAACCCGGAGGGGUCAUUUGAAACUGGUAGACUAGAGUACAGCAGAGGAUAGCGGAAUUCCCGGUGUAGUGGUGAAAUGCGUAGAUAUCGGGAGGAACACCAAUGGCGAAGGCAGCUCACUGGGACGGUACUGACGCUGAGACGCGAAAGCGUGGGGAGCAAACAGG
rnacentral:rRNA from 1 species